rnacentral:rRNA from 1 species
AUUGAACGCUGGCGGCAUGCCUUACACAUGCAAGUCGAACGGCAGCACGGGUGCUUGCACCUGGUGGCGAGUGGCGAACGGGUGAGUAAUACAUCGGAACGUACCUUAUCGUGGGGGAUAACGCAGCGAAAGCUGUGCUAAUACCGCAUACGCCCUGAGGGGGAAAGCGGGGGAUCGAAAGACCUCGCGCGAUUAGAGCGGCCGAUGCCUGAUUAGCUUGUUGGUGGGGUAAAAGCCCACCAAGGCGACGAUCAGUAGCUGGUCUGAGAGGACGAUCAGCCACACUGGGACUGAGACACGGCCCAGACUCCUACGGGAGGCAGCAGUGGGGAAUUUUGGACAAUGGGGGAAACCCUGAUCCAGCAAUGCCGCGUGAGUGAAGAA